CCAAUAGCGUAUAUUAAAGUUGUUGCAGUUAAAAAGCUCGUAGUUGAAUUUCGGGAUUGACGUAAUGGUCGUGCCUUAAGGGGUAUGAACUGUUACUGUUGAUUCCUCACCUUCUGGAGAAACUUGAUGUCCUUAAUUGGGUGUCUUGCGGAUCCAGGACCUUUACCUUGAAAAAAUUAGAGUGUUUAAAGCAGGCAUUUUUGCUCGAAUACAUUAGCAUGGAAUAAUAGAAUAGGACGGCAUGGUUCUAUUUUGUUGGUUUCUAGGAUCACCGUAAUGAUUAAUAGGGAUAGUUGGGGGCAUUAGUAUUCAAUUGUCAGAGGUGAAAUUCUUGGAUUUAUUGAAGACUAACUACUGCGAAAGCAUUUGCCAAGGAUGUUUUCAUUAAUCAAGAACGAAAGUUAGGGGAUCGAAGACGAUCAGAUACCGUCGUAGUCUUAACCAUAAACUAUGCCGACUAGGAAUCAGACGAUGUUAAUUUUUUAAUGACUCGUUUGGCACCUUACG
rnacentral:rRNA from 1 species